ACUUCACUGUUAUGUAUUUUUUUUUAACCAUAACAAGACACACACAAAGCUUCUAACUCAUGAGUUUUUUCCUGCCCACAUUGUUGGAAGCCACUUGUGUGGUUGGAAAGUUUCAGUAUUGGUGAUGAUUUCAGCUGCAAAUGUCAGCAGAGUCAAGCAAUACAUAAAUAACUUAGUGUGUGCGAAUGGCUUGGGAGAGUGCCCGGCCCGUGGUAGGCGUUGCACACGCCUUCGUCCAAAGCCUCAGCCCGGAUGUGGUUUGGAAAACAGUCUCUUUUGCCCAAUGAGCGGUUUACGGUGCCUGUAUCACAUGUGAUGUUACGUCCUCGGCGCACCCUGUAAGGAAACGUGUUGUUAUUUCUCUCCAGCAAUAUAUGAAUCUUUAUAAUAAAUGGGAAAAUCGAGACUCUGAAUUGCUUCAUUUUAGUGUAGGCCAAAAAGUUAUGAAAAAAACCCCAAAGUAACUUCUCAGAGGUCUUGGGCUUCAGAACCAUGUAUGUGGGAUUAUGGAUGUAAGUUCUCCCCUCCCCAGUCCAAAGACGAAGAACCUGAAGCACUGAGAGGUCCCGAGCCUCAUCCAUGGACAGAGCAGGAGGGCCAGCGCCGGCUCUGGGGGCCAGUGGGGCCCAGACUCCGCACUCUUACCCGAGGAGCGACACACACGUUUGUUACGACUUUGGCGGUAGCAGGCACAACUAAAGAUACACCUUGUUUGUUGUUUUGUGUGGAAGGUGUGUUCGACCACACACUGUGAUUGCGUGUGGACUGCUAGAGCGUGUGGAAGGAGAGCAUACCUGGGGGUCCUUGACCUUGUCCCCCUUACGUGGGACAGAGGCAGCCUCCCUUGUGACUCUUCCCUUCUUUGGGUGCCUGUCUUCUCCCCAGGUCUCACUGUGCGGCUCUGCCCUGGUUGCCAGUGACCUGGUGGUGACAGUCCUCCCCCAGAGGCCUGGGGAGGGAGCCUGGGCCCCUGCAUCCCCCUGCAUGUGAGCAGGGCAGGCUGGAGGCACUGGAGAGUUGAUGCUCUGGGAUCAGCCCUGACCCAUAUGUGGGUGGGACUCCGCGACCUCCCCUCUCUAUAGGGCUGUCCUGCGGGUGUCGUGCUCACAGGCUCUGCAGCUACAGUCCAGGCACGAGCGUACGCUUUCCUGCCUUUCUUCUCUUCCUGCCCCCCCCUCCUCGUCUCCCCAGUAGUUCUGUGUGUCUGUGACCACGGCUCAGCAAGUGUCCUGUGGCCAGAGCCACCCCUCAGGACCUGAGUGUUGUCGGAAGCACUGAGCUGUAGGGUUCCAGGACUCCUCUGCGAUAGGACCCCUUUCUUCUUUCCCAGCAGAGGAGGGUGGACCCCUGAUUUCUCCUCACCACUGCAGGCGGACAGCCCUCAUGCCUCAUCACGGAUGAGUGCCGGGGCCCGCAGAGAACGCUUCUGUGUAGCUUCGACGGCAAGCAUUACUGGUAACUUUCUCUCACCUCACUCAUGGAAGGACGUCAGCCCUGGUGACUGGUGGCUGUCCUGGUGUGGGAAUAGGUAUCUGGGGAGAGUGGCAGCUGUCUAAAUCCCCAUCUCACCACAAUACAAAACAAGAACCCACAAACCCAGAUGCUGGCAUAAUGAGAAGACAAUUAAUGCACAAACUUCAAGUUGCUUUUAAGUUUAAAAAGAUAAAUCUCAUUAAA